CCUACGGGUGGCAGCAGUGGGGAAUAUUGCACAAUGGGCGCAAGCCUGAUGCAGCCAUGCCGCGUGUGUGAAGAAGGCCUUCGGGUUGUAAAGCACUUUCAGCGGGGAGGAAGGCGGUGAGGUUAAUAACCUCAUCGGUUGACGUUACCCGCAGAAGAAGCACCGGCUAACUCCGUGCCAGCAGCCGCGGUAAUACGGAGGGUGCAAGCGUUAAUCGGAAUUACUGGGCGUAAAGCGCACGCAGGCGGUCUGUCAAGUCGGAUGUGAAAUCCCCGGGCUCAACCUGGGAACUGCAUUCGAAACUGGCAGGCUAGAGUCUUGUAGAGGGGGGUAGAAUUCCAGGUGUAGCGGUGAAAUGCGUAGAGAUCUGGAGGAAUACCGGUGGCGAAGGCGGCCCCCUGGACAAAGACUGACGCUCAGGUGCGAAAGCGUGAGGAGCAAACAGGAUUAGAUACCCGAGUAGUC
rnacentral:rRNA from 1 species